rnacentral:rRNA from 1 species
GAACGCCUGUAGCAAUACAGGAGUGGCAGACGGGUGAGUAACACGUGGGAACGUGCCCUUCGGUUCGGAAUAACCCCAGGGAAACUUGGGCUAAUACCGGAUACGUCCGCAAGGAGAAAGAUUUAUCGCCGAUGGAUUGGCCCGCGUCUGAUUAGCUAGUUGGUGGGGUAAUGGCUCACCAAGGCGACGAUCAGUAGCUGGUCUGAGAGGAUGAUCAGCCACAUUGGGACUGAGACACGGCCCAAACUCCUACGGGAGGCAGCAGUGGGGAAUAUUGGACAAUGGGCGCAAGCCUGAUCCAGCCAUGCCGCGUGAGUGAUGAAGGCCCUAGGGUUGUAAAGCUCUUUUACCCGGGAAGAUAAUGACGGUACCGGGAGAAUAAGCCCCGGCUAACUUCGUG